GUAUAUGCCUGCCCACAUUCUAUCUCUGCAUAGCAAAAAUGCCACAACAACCUCAGGUGGUCUUUUCUUGUCUCAAGGGAAAGCUUAGUGCUUCAUUGAUCCUACUGAAAACGAGACGAAGCGGGACGCACGCGACUGCUGGUCCGCCAGUUUUUGCAACUACGGGCUUUUGGUCUGCACUCUCUCUCCGGCUGCCGGCGAAAGAUGAUAGCCUCCGCAUUUUCCUCGGCGAAGAUGCUGGUUUCUUGGUAUGGGGCCACCAAGACCUGUCCAAAUCAUGCUCUGUGGCCUUUUUACGUCCACUGGAUUUAAAUUUUGAUCGUGAUGCAUGUGAAGAUCUUGCUUGCCGUGGCUCUGAAACUCUGCUCUUUAGUAAGGAGUCCAGACUGCCCAUCACCGGGCGGUGCUCAUCUCUACUUGUUGUGUGACGGCUAUCCUUCAAAACCUCCAGGGUGACAGGGUACCCCACAAUUGGUUUACCUGUCCAUUUACUCAUGAGGGAAAUAAGGGGCGCAUGAUGACCCUUGUAGCUUCUUUGGACAGUCACCUCAAC
rnacentral:misc_RNA from 1 species